rnacentral:lncRNA from 1 species
UCCAAGAUCCCCAAAUCCAACCACCAACCCAUCCCCACCGUGUUUGCUCAGAGAAUCGGAGUCAUUAAGGCUGGCAAUGACCUCCAAGAUCCCCAAAUCCAACCACCAACCCAUCCCCACCGUGUUUGCUCAGAGAAUCGGAGCCAUUAAGGCUGGCAAUGACCUCCAACAUCCCCACAUCCAACCAGCCCAUCCCCACCAGGCUUGCCAACCGUGCUCAUGUUGUGUCCCAUACAACCUCUCCAAGCAGCGCUGGCAGAAGCCGUGGCUGAGCUUUGCUCUUCAUUGUUAGCCCGCAUCCCAUCCCCCUACGAAUUCCUGCUCUUUACUUUCCAACUUGGCCGCUCUGGGUGUCUUUGGCAUCCUUUCCGUUCGGGUUCUCCCCCGUCCCCCCACUCAGCGUUGCUUUGGGCAGUCCAACCACCGUCGCCGGGAGGAGGAGGAGCUCCUGAAGCACAGCUGUGCUCCCUGGGGUCACUUUGCUGGAUUCCCACUCUGCCCUCGUAAUUCCCACCCAUCAUUUGGGUUGGAAGGGACCUUCCAAGGUCUUAGAAAGGCCCAGGUUGGAAGGCACCUCAAGGAUCAUCAAGCUCCAACCCCCAUCUGGUCCAGCACCCAAACUCUACCCGGCGCCUUGGAAAGCAGCGUUCUUUUCCCCUUGCUGCUCCUUGGGGGAGCGUUGUUCACGUUCUUUUGGGCUGGCAGCAGGGGCAGAUCCUCAGCAGAGCUCAGCGUCAUCCAGCGAGCAGAACGGUGCCCAUUGACACAUCGCUGUCACUGAUGGAGGUGUGAGGGGGGGUCGGGCUCACAGGCUUGUGUGAACACGGCACGAUAAAAGCCUCUUGCAAACGACGUGUCUUAUUGAUUUAAGGAGAAAAAAACCCAAAAAAACCCAGGUCUACGUUACUGGCAAAAAAAGGGUGAUCAUGUUAAUUCAAUCACGGCGGGCUCAGGAGGACAGGAGUCCUUUCGUAUUACCGUAACUGGCCAUGUGCAGCAAUAAGAGUGUCAGGCCUUGUCAGAGCUGACGGCUGUUGGCACUGCGCAAUCCCGGCAGGUGCCGCGGGCUGCUCCCUGGAGCACACGCUGGCUCUCUGGUGAUGGAACACAGCCGUUGAAGAGGUGGGACCCGCCGUAGGCUGGAGCAUUUCCAGCCUCCCCUUGCUGGGAUUCAGUUUGCUUCACCUGAAAAGUGAGCCGAGAGGGAUUCGUCUGUGCUCCAGCGUCAGCGUGGGCUCUGCGCUGCUGGGCUGGGAGGGACCCAGGAGGGGCCGGGAUGACCCGGAGGGAUCCAGGAGGCAUUGAGGAACCCUCAGUGAGAUGAGUUCUGAAGCUGUUCGAAAUUGAGAAGAGCUCUGGGAGACCGGAGGUGGCUUUUUGCUGGUGGGAAUGGUGUUCUGUGCGUGCCGGGCUGAAGCUGUGCUGACUUCGUGCCCUUCCGCUUGGUUGCCACCUUCGCCAUCUUCAGGGCAGGGACAGAGGAGGAUAUAAGGAUGGUGGGCAUUCCUUGUCCCACUCGCAGAGGUUCUCCCAAGCUUCUCUGCGUCCAGGCUUUGGAGAAAUGCAGCUCUCUGGGUGCCCAUGUGGGCUGCUGGUGAAGUGAGGUCCAUUUUGCGUCUCUGGGG